CUCCCACCACCACCACCAAGAAUCCAGCCUCCAAAGAGGCUUGGCAUAUGCCAAAUAGUACUUGAGACGGCAUCGGGAACCCCAUCCAGGACCAGGUUAAGAGAGCAAGAGAAGAGAUCUCAGGCAGGAGGGGACUCGAGAUGACAGGCUUCUGUAGAUGGCCUCUCUUCUUGGUGGUGGUGUGUCUGCUGCUGAUGUUGACAGGCUGGGGGGCCUGUGCAGUAAUGCAGGUUCCAGACUAUCCUGGGGAAGAUGCCAAUGUGGAGCAGCUGGAAAACUUCCUGUUGAAACUCGGCAAGGAGCUGGAGGCUAUCAACAUGUCCCCUUACCGAAAGAGGAGACGCUAGGAGAUCAAGAAUCAUUUCCCCAGGCAAUGGCUGAAGAGCCUUGUGCCAUGUUCGGAAUUCUGAUGAAUCAAGUGGAUCCCAAAGGCUGC